rnacentral:rRNA from 1 species
UAGUGGCGAACGGGUGAGUAACACGUGGGCAAUCUGCCCUUCACUCUGGGACAAGCCCUGGAAACGGGGUCUAAUACCGGAUAAUACCUGCCUGGGCAUCUGGGUGGGUUGAAAGCUCCGGCGGUGAAGGAUGAGCCCGCGGCCUAUCAGCUUGUUGGUGAGGUAGUGGCUCACCAAGGCGACGACGGGUAGCCGGCCUGAGAGGGCGACCGGCCACACUGGGACUGAGACACGGCCCAGACUCCUACGGGAGGCAGCAGUGGGGAAUAUUGCACAAUGGGCGAAAGCCUGAUGCAGCGACGCCGCGUGAGGGAUGACGGCCUUCGGGUUGUAAACCUCUUUCAGCAGGGAAGAAGCGAAAGUGACGGUACCUGCAGAAGAAGCGCCGGCUAACUACGUGCCAGCAGCCGCGGUAAUACGUAGGGCGCAAGCGUUGUCCGGAAUUAUUGGGCGUAAAGAGCUCGUAGGCGGCUUGUCACGUCGGGUGUGAAAGCCCGGGGCUUAACCCCGGGUCUGCAUUCG